CUUCAUACACCAGUUCAUAAAAUGGUUCACAAGGCCUCUGCUGUUUACAUGUUACCCUUCAUUGUACUGCUAUUGCUCGCAUCCUAUACACUAGUAGUGUAUGCUGAUUUUUCCCCAACAACAAAAGGCAAAGAAAACAGCAGGUUUCAUUGGGCCAUAAGGAAAUUAAUCGACGUACGAAAGCCUCCUACACCGGGAGAUGGUCAAGGUACAACCCCACCUUGAGCCCUUGACAUGAUGCAGAAAUCUAGCAAAAAUUUUAAUGAAUCAUUUUUUUUUUGCUUUGUUUCUCCGGGUUUAUGAUUAAUUUCAAGUUUGAUGAAUAAAAU